rnacentral:lncRNA from 1 species
UUCCACUUGAAUCCAACCGAACCAAAUCGGAUCCGAACCGAACCGGAUCCUAUUUGAACCGAACCGAACCGGAUUCGAUUCGAACCGGAUCCUGUCUGAACCGAACCGGAUCCUGUCUGAACCGAACCGAAUAUGAUUCGACUUCAACCAAACCAAAUCCGAUCUGAACUGAACCGAAUCGGAUUCGAACCUAACCGAAUCCUGUCUGAACCGAACUAGAGAUGUCAACGGGUCGGAUUCGGGGCGGAUUUUUAUAAACCCGAACCCGAACCCGACUCCAAACCCGAGACCCGAACCCGAACCCGAACCCGACGGAUUUCAAAAAUCCAUAUCCAAACCCGAACCUGACCAAAAAUCCGAAACCCGAAUCCGAACCCGAACCCGAACCCGAAAACUUGAACCCGAAACAAUUAUUUCUUUUUUCAAUAUUUCAAAAUAUAUUAUAUUAAAUUUAAAUUUUUAAAAUACAAAUUCAAAUAUAACAUCAAAUUUUUAUNCAAACCCGAACCCGACCAAAAAUCCGAAACCCGAACCCAAACCCGAACCCGAAAAUUUGAACCCGAAACAAUUAUUUCUUUUUUCAAUAUUUCAAAAUAUAUUAUAUUAAAUCUAAAUUUUUAAAAUACAAAUUCAAAUAUAACAUCAAAUUUUUAUAUAUAUAUUAUAUAUAAUACAAAAUAAAUUCGGGUUCAGGUCGGGUUCGGGUCGGGUUCGGGUUCAGGUCGGGUAUAAUCAAAAUCCAUAUCCGAAUCCAUAUCCGUCGGGUUUUUAUUUUUUAUAUCCAUAUCCAAAUCCAUAUCCAUAUCCAUCAGAUAUAUCCGUUUCAUUCGGGUUCGGGUUCGGAUAAAAUUUCGGGUAUCCAUACCCAUUGACAUCCCUAAAUCAAACUGGAUCCUGUCUGAACCGAACCGAACAAGAUUCGACUUGAACCAAAACAAAUCCGAUCUGAACCGAACCGAUCAGGAUCCGAUCCGAACUGAACCAAACCGAACCGGAUCCUAUCUGAACCAUAAAAG